CCUACGGGUGGCAGCAGUGAGGAAUAUUGGUCAAUGGGCGCGAGCCUGAACCAGCCAAGUCGCGUGAGGGAAGACGGUCCUAUGGAUUGUAAACCUCUUUUGUCGGGGAGCAAAAUACGCCACGUGUGGCUUUUCGAGAGUACCCGAAGAAUAAGCAUCGGCUAACUCCGUGCCAGCAGCCGCGGUAAUACGGAGGAUGCGAGCGUUAUCCGGAUUUAUUGGGUUUAAAGGGUGCGUAGGCGGAUUGAUAAGUUAGAGGUGAAAUGUCCGAGCUUAACUAGGGAACUGCCUCUAAUACUGGUGAUCGAGAGAGUAGGUGCGGUAGGCGGAAUGUAUGGUGUAGCGGUGAAAUGCUUAGAGAUCAUACAGAACACCGAUUGCGAAGGCAGCUUACCAAUCUAUAUCUGACGUUGAGGCACGAAAGCGUGGGGAGCAAACAGGAUUAGAUACCCUUGUAGUC
rnacentral:rRNA from 1 species